GGGGCGUGUCAGUGCGCGUAGCUCGGCGGCGGCGCGGCUGGAAGGAACUAGCUGAAAGAAAAGAAGAGUGCUGAAGAGUUAUUAGCUGUGGUUGGCAGCGUUCACUAGGCCUUUUGGGAUCCCAGUAGAAGAAGAAGAUAUAGGAACUUCUCUGAGCUCAAUGGGUCAGUAAAUAAAAGGGAGAUCCAGGCUCCUUUUGAG
rnacentral:lncRNA from 1 species